rnacentral:rRNA from 1 species
AGAGUUUGAUCCUGGCUCAGGAUGAACGCUAGCGACAGGCUUAACACAUGCAAGUCGAGGGGCAGCACGGUGUAGCAAUACACUGGUGGCGACCGGCGCACGGGUGAGUAACACGUGUGCAACCAACCCCGUACCGGGAGAUAACCCGCGGAAACGUGGACUAACAUCCCAUGAGACUCUAGAGCCGCAUGGCUUUGGAUUUAAAAUUCCGGUGGUACGGGACGGGCACGCGCGACAUUAGGUAGUUGGCGGGGUAACGGCCCACCAAGCCGACGAUGUCUAGGGGUUCUGAGAGGAAGGUCCCCCACACUGGAACUGAGACACGGUCCAGACUCCUACGGGAGGCAGCAGUGAGGAAUAUUGGUCAAUGGGCGAGAGCCUGAACCAGCCAAGUCGCGUGAGGGAAGAAUGGUCCAUGGCCUGUAAACCUCUUUUGUCAAGGAAGAAUAAAAGGUACGUGUACCUUCUUGCCAGUACUUGACGAAUAAGCAUCGGCUAACUCCGUGCCAGCAGCCGCGGUAAUACGGGGGAUGCGAGCGUUAUCCGGAUUUAUUGGGUUUAAAGGGCGCGUAGGCGGGACGCCAAGUCAGCGGUAAAAGACUGCAGCUAAACUGUAGCACGCCGUUGAAACUGUUGACCUGGAGACGAGACGAGGGAGGCGGAACAAGUGAAGUAGCGGUGAAAUGCAUAGAUAUCACUUGGAACCCCGAUAGCGAAGGCAGCUUCCCAGGCUCGUUCUGACGCUGAUGCGCGAGAGCGUGGGUAGCGAACAGGAUUAGAUACCCUGGUAGUCCACGCCGUAAACGAUGCUCACUGGAUCUUGGCGAUACACGGCCAGGGUUCAAGCGAAAGUAUUAAGUGAGCCACCUGGGGAGUACGUCGGCAACGAUGAAACUCAAAGGAAUUGACGGGGGCCCGCACAAGCGGAGGAACAUGUG